GAGGCCAGUAGUAAGUCAUUUACCACUUUAACCAGUGCUGUCUCUGUGCUAUGAUGAGGCCUAAACCCUGACUGAGGAUGACCAUAGCUGCUGUGCUACAACCUUUUCUAGGAUCUUGGAGAUAAAGGGGAGGUUUGAUAUUGGUCUAUAGUUAGACAGCUGACAGGGGUCAAGGUCAGGUUUUUUAAUCAAGGGCUUGAUAACUGCUAGUUUAAAAGAUUUAGGUACAUAGCCAAUGCUAAGGGAAGAAUUGAUUAUCUUUAAAAGAGGUUUGAUUGUUUCAGGAAUUAUCUGUUUGAAGAAACAAGUAGGUAAAGGAUCUAGUAUACAGGCUGAUGAUUUUGAUGAUGAAAUUAGUGAAAUUAGUUCGGCCUCUUCAAGGGGAGUAAAACAUUGUAAUUGUUGAUCUGAUGUUAUUAUAUUAUUAUCUACAGGGUUAGUUAUAAAACUGUCCAGUUUUAUAUUAAUAGUCUGAAUUUUUUGCCAGAUAUUUUCAAUUUUACCACUGAAAAAUUUCAUGAAGUCAUCAUUGCUAUAUAAUGAUUGUGUGCAUGUUUCUGUUGUAGUCUUAUUCUUAGUUAAUUUUGCUACAGUAUUAAAUAAGAAUCUAGGAUUAUUUUUGUUAUCUUCAAUUAGGGUGGAGAGAUACAUUGAUCUAGCAGCACUAAGAGCUUUCUUAUAGCUCAAAAGGCUCUCCUUCCAUGCUAUUUGAAAUACUACCGAUUUAGUUUGACGCCAUUUACGUUCUAGUUUUCAAGUUUUCUGUUUUAAAGUUUGUGUGUGAUCGCUAUACCAGGGUGCUAGCUUUUUCUCCCUAAUUAUUUUUGAGUGGAGCUACCUUAUUUAGCGAGUUGCAGAACGUUGAUUCUAAGCAUACAGUUGCCUGGUCAAGUUCUCUGGGAUCAGAUGGUGAUCCAAUCAUGGUAAAACUCUGUGCAGUUAUUGACGUGCAAGUACGUUUGACACGGUGACGUGGCAAGGUGCAUAUAUUAUGAUUGAGACACAUUUUAAAUGAGAUGAGGUAAUGAUCUGAGAUAGCUUCAGACUGUGGAAAUGAGACUAUAUUUUCUAUAUUUAAUCCGAAUGUUAGUAUUAAAUCAAGAGUGUGAGCACCACUAUGAGUUGGUCCUAUUACAUUCUGAUUAACCCCUACUGAAUCAAGAAUGGACACAUCUGCUGUUCUCAGAGGGUCUUCUGGAUUAUCAAAAUGAAUAUUAAAGUCCCAACAAUUAAUGCUUUUUCUAAAGAAACAACCAGGUUAGAGAUGAAAUCCGCAAAUUCACAUAGGAAUUCCGAAUAUGGCCCUGGGGGUCUGUAAAUAAUAAUUACUGGAAUCACCUGGGUAGACUUAUUUUUAGUGGCUACGUAUGUUAUGUUAGUAUAAAGAACUUCAAAUGCGUUGAAUUUAUGACUUGGUUUUUGUGUGAUGCCUAGAUUAUCAUUAUAGAUGACUGCGACGCCUUCUCCUUUGCCAGUUAGACGGGGCUGAUAUAUGUAACUGUACCCGGGAGGACUAGCUUCAUUUAAUGCUACAAAGUCGUUUGGUUUAAUCCACUUUUCUGUUAAACACAGCACAUCAAACUCCUGAUCAGUAAUGCUUUCAUUAACAACAAGCGCUUUAGACGUAAGAGAUCUAAUAUUCAACAGUCCUAGCUUCAGAUCAACGGUGCUGGCUAUGCAUUCGGUUUGAUUUAAUUUUAUGUUAAUUAGGUUACUAAAACAAACAGUCUGAGUAUGUCUAUAAUUUUGUUUAGCUCGGGGAAGAGACACAAUCUCAAUACGGUGGAACCUAAGUAACGACUCAGUGCACCUAGCAGACGGUCGGUUUAGCCUGCCUGUCUGCUCCCUGGCCUUGGCCCUGGAUUGUCACCGAUUAACUAGUCCUGUUCUGAGGCUAUGUGCUAUGCUGCAAGAAAUGAGAGCAGCACCUUCCCUAGUGUGAUGGACACCGUCCCGCCUUAACAGGUCAGCCUUGCCCUCAAAGAUAGUCCAAUUAUCUAUAAAGCCCACAUUGUUUUCGGAGCACCACCUGGACAUCCAGCAGUUCAGCGACCAUAACCUGCUGUAAGCUACAUCGCUACGCCGUAUUGGGAUGGGGCCAGAGCAUAUUACAGCAUCGGACAUCGCCUUCACUAAUUUACACACCUCUACCAUGUCACUCUUAGUAACCUCAGACUGACGAAGGCAUAUAUCAUUAGCUCCUACAUGAAUAACUAUCUUUGAAAACCUGUGCUUGCCUAAGACCCUAAGAUUACCUGCUAUGUCCGGCACCCUGGCUCCCGGUAUACACCUAACUAAAGCUGCUGGUGUCCCUAAAGGCCUAGCUAAGUUCAUGUGCCGCAAGAUAGAGUUACCUAUAAUGAGGGCUCUUUCAGGUUUCUCAGUGUGUGCUUCACUGAGGAGAGCAAACCUGUUGGAAACGUGAAGCGGAGAGGAGUGGUACUCCCGAGGGCAAGCCUUAGCGUUAGCUUUGGCUUUGCGAUUAUGCCGCCAAGUCGUCACCCUUUCGCCCCGCUGUAAAGGCUCUAAUGCCAGAGUUGGGGUAUUACUAACUCCGCCUAAGGCAUCCAGACUUUCCCCUACAGAAACUACGCUGCUCUCACUCUCACUAACCCUCUCUCUAGAGACUGGAUGCGCACCUCUAAUGCUCUGUCAGAGAGCUAACUAACAUGCGUUUAUCACAAAUAAAGCUAUUACUAACAACGGAGGAAGAGUGACUACACAUUGCUACACACUGCACUCAACACACUGAACAAGCUGAAUGUUAGACAUGUUGUUUAACGCACCUUAGUCGAAGAUUUGUUGAUGUUAUUUUAGAUGGCGUGGAUCCGGUGUGGAUGGCCUCCGCUCGCUGUCUUGACAAAAUACAAAAGCGCUCUUCGAGAGAAAGAAAAAUGAAAAUAUGGUAGAAGAGAACGUGAAAAAUACAACAGAUGAAAACUAUAGCGCAAAAUUAUUGAUUGAAAAAAAAAAAGAAACAGUAUAGUUAAGACGCUGACGCAGGCUAGAAACUCCCGGCAAAACAAUUCGAAAAAAGUCAUCAGGUUUGUCUAGAUUACAUUCAUCUUUUUUGUUUAUAACCACUCCUGCAUUACUUUGGCCUUGUGUUUGGGACCACUGUUCUGCUGAAAGGUGAAGUUUCUUCCAAGCUUUAGUUUUUUUUUUUUUUUGUUAAGAAGACUGAACAGGUUCUCCUGUAAUUCAGUUUUCACAAGACGACCAGGUUCUGUGUGCCCACAGAGUAUGAUGCUGCCACCACCAUACUUCACUGUAGGGAUGGUGUUAAUUGAGUUAUGGUCUGCAUUAAGUUUGCACCAAACAUAGCACUUUGGAACUUCCCCAAAUACAGUAUCUUGAUUUUGGUCUCAUGACACCUAAAAAAAACACAUCUUCACUGGCUCACUAUUGUGCUUUCAUGUGGCUGUUCUUGGGCAAUGGUUUCCUUCUAGCCACCCUCCUCAAUGCAGUCCUCAAUUAUGGAGAGCUCUUGAAAUGGUUGUCUGGUGCGCCUUCACUCCACUCUCAGUUACUGUACUCUGUAACUGCUUCAGGGUGACUGUUGGCCUCACUGUGGCCUCGUCUAAGUAGUGCUUGGGCAGUGUGAUGCAGCUUCCACUUCCUCAUUAUUGAUCCAACAGUGCUUACUGGGAUGUCCAACCUCUUAGAUAUAAUUUUAUGCCCUAUCCCCAAGUUAUGAAAUUCUAUUACCCUAUCAUUAAUUUCCUUAGAAUGCUCCUUAGUGUUCAUUUUCACUUUUUUCCUUCAUACUGACAGUAUCUUUAAUAACAAUUCAACUGAGGCUCCCCUUUAUCUCCAAGGUCCUAGUGUAGCACAGCAGCUGUGCUCAUACUUACAUAGGAAUAACAUUCAUGAAAUGUAUCAGUCAGGAUUUAGCUCUCAUCAUAGCACAGAGACAGCACUGGUUAAAGUGGUAAAUGACUUACUACUGGCCUCUGAUCAGGGUUGUGUCUCCUUGCUUGUGCUGCUUGACCUUAGUGCAGCUUUUGAUACCAUUGAUCAUGCUAUUCUCCUUGAUAGACUGAAAAAUGUAGUAGGCAUUAAGGGAACGGCCCUUUCCUGGCUCAGGUCUUAUUUGACUGAUCGUUAUCAGUUUGUAAAUGUAAAUGGUGACUUCUCUUCUCAUACUAAAGUAAAGUUUGGUGUCCUGCUCUGUUUUAGGCCCACUGCUCUUUUCUUUAUAUAUGCUACUUCUGGGCAGAAUUAUCCGUAAACAUGGUUUUUAGCUUCCACUGUUAUGCUGAUGACACACAGUUGUAUGGUUCAGCAAAGCGAGAUGACAGACACCAGCUUAAUAAGGUUGAGGAAUGUGUAAAAGACAUUAGAAACUGGAUGUUUAUUAACUUUCUCUUAUGUAAUUCUGACAAGACAGAAGUACCUGUACAGAAGUAAGCUUUCUGAUUACAUAAUAACUCUGGAUGGCCUUUCUGUUUCAUCGUGUGCAGCAGUAAAAGACCUUGGUGUGAUUACAGACUCUAGUCUUUCUUUUGAAGCUCAGGUAGAUAAUAUCACUAGGGUUGCUUUCUUUCCUCUCAGAAAUGUUGCUAAAAUAAGAAAUAUAUUGUCACUACAUGAUGCAGAAAAAUUAGUUCAUGCUUUUGUUACCUCUAGGUUGGAUUAUUGUAAUGCCUUACUGUCUCGAUGUUCCAGUAGAUGCAUAAACAAGCUCCAGUUAGUCCAGAAUGCAGCAGCAAGAGUCCUUACUAGAACCAGAAGAUAUGACCACAUCACCCCUAUCUUAUCCACACUGCAUUGGCACCACCUGGACCACCUGGCUGGACCAAUCACUAUGGUGACUUCAUUACACCCAUCUUGAGCAUGGCCGUGAGCUCCUCCUGCAACACCUGUUUUUUGUGUUUUGGCAAACAGUAAUAUCGUCUGCAUACCACCACCCCUGUGGGCGUCUCAGUGUGGUGUUUUGUCAGAUUAUUGCAGAAAGUUAGUGGCCAAAACUGUCAGAAAACUGUCAGAAAAAAUGUCAUAAAUCUACUCCUGCAGCUUGGCAACCUCUGUGAUUUGGGACGGAGAGAAUUGGUCUACAUAGGGGACCAGAAUGGAUUGAGCUAUACGAUUAAGAUUCACUUCCAGUCCCAGCUCCUCCUUCUCGAGAACCAUUGUUGCCAAAGCCACAGGGACAGCCUCUGUCCAUGGUUUGAGGAGACAGAGAUGGUAUAUUUGCAGUGCCCUGCCUCAAUCUAUUUACCUUACUUCAUAGUCGAAAUCCCUGACUCAUUAUUUGACCUCAAAUGGCCCAUGCCACUUUUGCGAGUAAAAUUGCACUUUAUCUCCCGGUGAAAGAUCCCGCCUUUUAAACAGCUGGGAUUGAUUGUGCCUGUAGCAAAUUCUCGUGUGUUGGUUAAUGUGUGGAGUUUUGCUCUCAGGUCAAGAUAUACUGAAUUUCACUUUUACUUUGUGAAAGUCCUUCCACCCAUUUUCUCAAGAUGACUUCUAAGAUGCCGCAGGGCUUGUGCCCAUAUAGCAAUUCAAAUGGAGUGAAGUCUGUGGAGGCUUACGGGACCACUAGUACUGCAAAUAAUAGGGCUCGAGCCACUUAUCCCAAUUCUAAUCAUUAUUGUGUAACUCAUAUCUUUCGAUCAUAUUUUUUGACCAGGUCUUUUGUUUGCAGAUUGUAAACGCUGGUAUGAAUCAAUUUAAUUCCUAAUAGUUCAUACAGUUCUUGAAGUGCAUGUGACAUAAAUGUGGUGCCUUGAUCAAUCAGAAUCUCUUUUGGGAUUCCAAAUCUGGAGAUUAUUUUGAAGAUUGCCACCUCAACAUGCAUGCUGAGAUUUUGCAAAGAGGCAAGGUUUCCAUGUAUAUUCUACUAUAACUAAUACAAAGUGAAGCCCUCAUGCACUCCAUUCUAAUGGCCCAAUGAGGUCUAUCCCAAUUCUUUAGCAUGGGACCUUGAUUAAUGGAAGGAGUUCAGUGGUGCUUUUGUGGUGGUUGGUGGAUUCAUCAGCUGACAUUCGUGACAUGCCACACACCCAUACCACCAACAGCAUACAUUCCAAUGAUGCCAGAAAAAUUGUUCCCCCAAGCCAACUCUGUUCACGUCCCACAUUGUGCUACUCUAUUACGGGACUGAUCCACACAAAUUCCCCUUAACAAUGUUGGAAAGUCUGGCCAGUUUGUCUGCAAAAUCAGUGGAUGGGUGAGGCGAGGACUAUCUACUGCCUCUAUUCUAUGUUUUUGUCCCCGGAGUUGAAUGACAGGCAAUAGUAUAUAUUCAUUCUCAUCCCCAUGCAUACACCUCAUCUUCACCCAGCGUGCUCUAUCCAGUGCCUCACCUUGAACCAAGUGUUUGUGAAUUGAGGUUUGAUUACACCCCAAAUCCACCAACAUCAUGUAUGUACGCCCUGGAAUUACCACAGUAUUCCAGUAUACACAGUACUCCUCCAAACCACUGGAAAUUACAAUUUUAUAAAUUACAGUAAUUACAAAUUACAAAUGAACUAUAAACUACUAGGAGAAUAACAGAAACAACAGAAACUUGAGUAAACAUGCAGCAUCUUUAUGCUUCCUCUGUAAUGAAAGUGGAAUCUGGUUCUGCCAGGGAGUCAGAAUCCGGCACAACACGUUGUAUUGGCUAGGAGAGAAAAAAAAAAAAACAAAACGAAACAGUUUAAUCCCUUUCUAAUGAUCAUCGCCAUAUUUGUAAAUUGUUAGAUUCUACACUUCUUUGUAGGCGUAUAUAAUCUUUUUAGGUCAAAAUCUCCCUUUUUCUUUUUGGCUGAAAAACGAAAGAGCCGUUUUUUUUUUUUUUUUUACCAUUUUCAUGCCAAAAUAUUUUGGUGGCAUCCCUAAUAAUUAACUGACGUUACCUUUAUAUGUGUUUAAUGUUAGCAAAGUCAAACACGUUGAAAAAUUUUAUUUCAAUUUAAUGAACUCAAAAUAGUCUCCAUGUACCAUGACAGAAAGCGAGUGCACCCUGUGAGUUAAAAUCAUGUGGGAUUGGGAGAAAGGGGCGGGGCUUCCAGGCAGUGUCAGUUAAUGUCAAAGAGUUGAAAAUAUCACACAGAUCACUCCAGAUUAAUGUUUAUUGGGGAGAAAAAGACUGCUGCAUAUUUUUGAGUGAUUUGUACUUGUACAAGUGUACGCUGAUGUUAAACUGCAGAGCUUCUACGCAAAAUGUAUAAAGGUUGGCAUGAGUGGUAAUAUAAUAUAAUGGAAGUAAAUGACACUAGAUAUGGUGGCAGUGUAAUAUUGUGUGGGGGCAAUAAAAUCAUUAUAUUGCACACACCUAAUGCACAGAUUUAAUAUAAUAUUUAAAAUUUUGCAUAUUUAUUGCACCAGUUUAUUUACUUUCAUUGAUAACAGUGUAGCCUAAAAAAGUAUUUAAAGCUGGAAAUAUAAUUUGAAGUCUGUGUGUAGCUGUUAACUGAAGUGCAGUUUAGAGCAUUCUUUGCUGUACAAAUAAAUCAGUGUUAAAAUAGCAAUGCCCUGAUAUAUUGCUUUGAAUAUGGACAAGUCAAGUAGUCGACAUCUUUUUUUAAAUUACUGGUCAACUAGUAAAAAUUUGUAGUCAUGCAUCCCCUAGCGUGUGUGUCUGCCACUGGUCUCCAGUGUGUGUUUGUUUUAUCUCUGCUGUUUUAAGGCCUGAUUGAAUGACCAAAUCCUGUGAUUAACUGGAUAAAUAAUGUCUGUCAAUUGAAUUACAUAACUCGGUGGGGUAACGGCUGUGGAGCGCUAUAACUACUUGAUUUAGGACCAGACCACAGAAGACUAUAAUCGCUUCUGGUGAGAGUGGUAACAACAGUGGAAAAGAAGGGGAAAGAAUCACUCUGACAACCAGGUCAAAAAGGAUUCUGGUUUCCCAGGAAGGAUCCAGCUGAUUGGCUUGCCAGUCCAAGCAUUGCACCAGUACCAGGAUACCCGCAAGGCAAGGACAGUUCUCCAGAUACUCGAAGGAACUCUCUCUCGAUUGAGGAAGAAGGAAGAUGAAAGGAGAAAGCAAUGAUAGGAAGGGAAAGUCAAAUAUCAACUCACAACUGCAUAACAUUCAACUUACAACUCAUUAAACAUUUCACUGACACAUGCAACAAUACCAAUGUAACAUAUAACUCUUGAAUAAACAUAUAUGACAUAAAAAAAAAUCACAUUUCCACUGGUGUAUUACCAAUAUAUGUAUAUAUAAUAAUUUCCAUUAAAAUAAUUGACUUUCAACUUCAACACGUUGUUCGUCUAAUCACUUUAGGGUUUUCUAAAUUUUCUGAGCAACACGUGUGACCUAGCCCAUGUGCGGCCAAUACGCUCAAUGCACCUAUGGUAUUAGCAAAACUAGGUACAUGUGGCAGCAUAAGUUGCAACAAAAUGAAGAAACUUUAGCUAGUAUGCACAUUUAGUCCAAUAAUACCGUUACUAAACACAUUUUGUUUGAGUUAAACACAGUAUUAAAACACACUUUUCUCUUACAUGGCACCAAAUCCUUAUCGUUUAUUAACGAACAGCAGUUAUACUGU